rnacentral:tRNA from 1 species
GUCAGUAUGGCCGAGUGGUUAAGGCGACAGACUUGAAAUCUGUUGGGUGUUACCCGCGCAGGUUCAAAUCCUGCUGCUGACG